CCUACGGGUGGCAGCAGUAGGGAAUCUUGCACAAUGGGCGAAAGCCUGAUGCAGCCACGCCGCGUGGGUGAAGAAGGCCUUCGGAUCGUAAAACACUGUUGUUAGAGAAGAAAGUGUGGGAGAGUAUAUGCUCACGUUUCGACGGUAUCUAACCAGAAAGCCACGGCUAACUACGUGCCAGCAGCCGCGGUAAUACGUAGGUGGCAAGCGUUAUCCGGAUUUAUUGGGCGUAAAGGGAACGCAGGCGGUCUGUUAAGUCUGAUGUGAAAGCCUUCGGCUUAACCGGAGAAGUGCAUUGGAAACUGGGAGACUUGAGUGCAGAAGAGGAGGGUAGAACUCCAGGUGUAGCGGUGAAAUGCGUAGAUAUAUGGAAGAACACCAGUGGCGAAAGCGGCUCUCUGGACUGUAACUGACGCUGAGGUUCGAAAGCGUGGGUAGCAAACAGGAUUAGAUACCCGAGUAGUC
rnacentral:rRNA from 1 species